UGCACCAGUCCACUCGGAUCAAUCAUUUGUUAAAUGUAUGUCUUAGAAGUCAAUCUUGACUAACGCAUUCAUUUCUCUAAGAUAUAUUUUUAUACUUGAUGGGCAGUUUUUAUUAUUAAUCAUGUAGUAUAUAUCCAUGAUUUAUCCUAAAAGUUAACAAAGAUGAUUUUUGUAUAUUCUUGAGGUGUUGAAAAUUUGAGAUAUACAUCAUUAGUGGUUAAUUUCUAAAUACUCUUGAUCAUAGGAUC
rnacentral:lncRNA from 1 species